rnacentral:rRNA from 1 species
GUCUUCAGCCAUGCCACCCUGAACAAGCCCAAUCCCAUCUGAUCUAGGAAGCUAAGCAGAAUCAGGCCUGGUUAGUACUUGGAUGGGAGACUUUCUAGGAAGACCAGGUGCUGUAGGCA